rnacentral:lncRNA from 1 species
GGGCACUGGGUGCGCAGGCGGUGUCAGGAGCCGUAAGCAGGGACCGGGCCGCGACGCGCCCAUCCGCACGGGGCCUGUAGGUUGAUGCGGUAUGCCUGGCGUGUAGAACGCGCGCGCAAACACAUGGUACCAUGUGAUUACAGCGCUGGAAGCUUGGGGAGUCGCUGGUGGGGGCCGUAUGCAGCCUCUGCUGCUGGCAGCCGUAAGCAGGGACCGGGCCGCGGCGCGCCCAUCCGCACGGGGCCUGUCGGUUGAUGCGGUAUGCCUGGCGUGUAGAACGCGUGCCCCAACACAUUGUACCAUGUGAUUACAGCGCUGAAAGCUUGGGGAGUCACUGGUGGGGGCGGAAUGCAGCCUCUGCCGCCGGCAGGGGCACUGGGUGCUCAGGCAAUGUCAGGAACCGUAAGCAGGGACAGGGCAGUGGCGCGCCCAUCCGCACGGGGCCUGUCGGUUGAUGCGGUAUGCCUGGCGUGUAGAACGCGUGCCCCAACACAUUGUACCAUGUGAUUACAGCACUGGAAGCUUCGGAGUCGCUGGUGGGGGCGGUAUGCAGCCUCUGCCGCCGGCAGGGGCACUGGGUGCUCAGGCGAUGUCAGGAACCGUAAACAGGGACAGGGCAGUGGCGCGCCCAUCCGCACGGGGCCUGUAGGUUGAUGCGGUAUGCCUGGCGUGUAGAACGCGCGCGCAAACACAUGGUACCAUGUGAUUACAGCGCUGGAAGCUUGGGGAGUCACUGGUGGGGGCGGUAUGCAGCCUCUGCCGCCGGCAGGGGCACUGGGUGCUCAGCCGAUGUCAGGAACCGUAAGCAGGGACAGGGCAGUGGCGCGCCCAUCCGCACGGGGCCUGUAGGUUGAUGCGGUAUGCCUGGCGUGUAGAACGCGUGCCCCAACACAUUGUACCAUGUGAUUACAGCACUGGAAGCUUCGGAGUCGCUGGUGGGGGCGGUAUGCAGCCUCUGCCGCCGGCAGGGGCACUGGGUGCUCAGGCGAUGUCAGGAACCGUAAACAGGGACAGGGCAGUGGCGCGCCCAUCCGCACGGGGCCUGUAGGUUGAUGCGGUAUGCCUGGCGUGUAGAACGCGCGCGCAAACGCAUGGUACCAUGUGAUUACAGCGCUGGAAGCUUGGGGAGUCGCUGGUGUGGGCCGUAUGCAGCCACUGCUGCUGGCAGCCGUAAGCAGGGACAGGGCAGCGGCGCGCCCAUCCGCACGGGGCCUGUCGGUUGAUGCGGUAUGCCUGGCGUGUAGAACGCGUGCCCCAACACAUUGUACCAUGUGAUUACAGCACUGGAAGCUUCGGAGUCGCUGGUGGGGGCGGAAUGCAGCCUCUGCCGCCGGCAGGGGCACUGGGUGCUCAGGCA